rnacentral:rRNA from 1 species
GAUGAACGCUGGCGGCGUGCCUAAUACAUGCAAGUCGAGCGAACGGACGAGAAGCUUGCCUCUCUGAUGUUAGCGGCGGACGGGUGAGUAACACGUGGAUAACCUACCUAUAAGACUGGGAUAACUUCGGGAAACCGGAGCUAAUACCGGAUAAUAUUUUGAACCGCAUGGUUCAAAAGUGAAAGACGGUCUUGUUGUCACUUAUAGAUGGAUCCGCGCUGCAUUAGCUAGUUGGUAAGGUAACGGCUUACCAAGGCAACGAUGCAUAGCCGACCUGAGAGGGUGAUCGGCCACACUGGAACUGAGACACGGUCCAGACUCCUACGGGAGGCAGCAGUAGGGAAUCUUCCGCAAUGGGCGAAAGCCUGACGGAGCAACGCCGCGUGAGUGAUGAAGGUCUUCGGAUCGUAAAACUCUGUUAUUAGGGAAGAACAUAUGUGUAAGUAACUGUGCACAUCUUGACGGUACCUAAUCAGAAAGCCACGGCUAACUACGUG